rnacentral:rRNA from 1 species
GUAGGAGGCGAACGUUAUUCGGAUUUACUGGGCGUAAAGGGAGCGUAGGCGGUUCCUUAAGUCGAGUGUGAAAUCUUCUGACUUAAUCAGAAGGGGCCAUUUGAUACUGAGGGACUUGAGAGCAGCAGAGGGAAACGGAAUCUGCAGUGUAGCGGUGAAAUGCGUAGAUAUUGCAGAGAACACCAGUGGCGAAGGCGGUUUUCCAGGCUGUUUCUGACGCUGAGGCUCGAAAGCGUGGGGAGCGAAGCGGAUUAGAUACCCGCGUAGUCCACGCCCUAAACGGUGGACACUAGAUAUAGGAGGUAUCGACCCUUUCUGUGUCGAAGCUAACGCUUUAAGUGUCCCGCCUGGGGAGUACGGCCGCAAGGCUG